rnacentral:tRNA from 1 species
GGUGGCUCAGUGGUAGAGCUCUUGCCUUGCAUUCAUGAGGCCCUGGGUUCAAUUCCUCAGCACCA